rnacentral:rRNA from 1 species
GAUGAACGCUAGCUACAGGCUUAACACAUGCAAGUCGAGGGGAAACGAUAUUGGAAGCUUGCUUCCGAUAGGCGUCGACCGGCGCACGGGUGAGUAACGCGUAUCCAACCUGCUCACCACUUGGGGAUAACCUUGCGAAAGUAAGACUAAUACCCAAUGAUAUCUCUAGAAGACAUCUGAAGGAGAUUAAAGAUUCAUCGGUGAUGGAUGGGGAUGCGUCUGAUUAGCUUGUUGGCGGGGUAACGGCCCACCAAGGCGACGAUCAGUAGGGGUUCUGAGAGGAAGGUCCCCCACAUUGGAACUGAGACACGGUCCAAACUCCUACGGGAGGCAGCAGUGAGGAAUAUUGGCCAAUGGGCGAGAGCCUGAACCAGCCAAGUAGCGUGCAGGAUGACGGCCCUAUGGGUUGUAAACUGCUUUUAUAAGGGAAUAAAGUGAGUUUCGUGAGACUUUUUGCAUGUACCUUAUGAAUAAGGACCGGCUAAUUCCGUGCCAGCAGCCGCCGUAA